rnacentral:rRNA from 1 species
UACGUAGGGUCCGAGCGUUGUCCGGAAUUACUGGGCGUAAAGGGCUCGUAGGCGGCCAACUAAGUCAUACGUGAAAUCCCUCGGCUUAACCGGGGAACUGCGUCUGAUACUGGAUGGCUUGAGUUCGGGAGAGGGAUGCGGAAUUCCAGGUGUAGCGGUGAAAUGCGUAGAUAUCUGGAGGAACACCGGUGGCGAAGGCGGCAUCCUGGACCGAUACUGACGCUGAGGAGCGAAAGCGUGGGGAGCAAACAGG